UAUUUUGUUACGGUUUUUCAUUUGCUAUACGGUUUUUAACUAUGGAAUUUAUAGAAUUUACCAGUUACGAGCUUUUGUUAUUUGAGAAAUCAAGAACAAGAAACCGAAAUACUUAAGGCUAAUAUAGUGCCAGCAGCCGCGGUCAUACUAUCUUAAGGAGUAAAUAAUAUAAGUGAACUAUGCAACUCAUAAAAUAUAUCAACAUAGUGAAAUAUACUCUAUAUAUUAACCAAAAAGAUUAUACUGAACACAACUACGUAAAACAAACAAGGAUUAGAUACCCUUCUAUGGCUGUAAAUAAAAACCUUCACUGGGUAUUAAUGUAUAUAAACCUAAACCUAAAUAACAUGGCGGUAAUUUUAAAGCUUAGGGGAACUUACCCAAUAAAUGAUAACCACCAAGAGAAACUACUUUAAGUAACAUUUUGUAUGCCGUCGUCUAGAUCAAAUAUUAUAUUUGAUCCUAAGUCCCCAAACUAAAUGACAGAUCUUGGUGCAGACUAUCUUAAAGCUCGGGCGAGUUACAAUACGAAAUUUAUGUUCUAUCGGUAUAGUUAAUAGACCUAAAUAGUUGGACUUAAUCGUAAGGUUUAUAUUAUAAAUACUAACUGAAUUUUAAUAAAAUUGUGC
rnacentral:ncRNA from 1 species